rnacentral:rRNA from 1 species
AUUGAACGCUGGCGGCAUGCUUUACACAUGCAAGUCGAACGGCAGCACGGGCUUCGGCCUGGUGGCGAGUGGCGAGCGGGUGAGUAAUAUAUCGGAACGUACCCAAGAGUGGGGGAUAACGUAGCGAAAGUUACGCUAAUACCGCAUACGAUCUAAGGAUGAAAGCGGGGGAUCGCAAGACCUCGUUCUCCUGGAGCGGCCGAUAUCUGAUUAGCUAGUUGGUGAGGUAAAGGCUCACCAAGGCGACGAUCAGUAGCUGGUCUGAGAGGACGACCAGCCACACUGGAACUGAGACACGGUCCAGACUCCUACGGGAGGCAGCAGUGGGGAAUUUUGGACAAUGGGCGCAAGCCUGAUCCAGCAAUGCCGCGUGAGUGAAGAAGGCCUUCGGGUUGUAAAGCUCUUUUGUCAGGGAAGAAACGGCAGGGGCUAAUAUCCCUUGCUAAUGACGGUACCUGAAGAAUAAGCACCGGCUAACCACGUGCCAGCCGCCGCAGUAACAC